GCCCGCGUAGCUCAAUGGUUAGAGCGUGUGACUUUUAUAUGCAACCGCGUAUGAAGGCAUCCCAAGGCUGUGAGUUCGAGUCUCACCGCGGGCG
rnacentral:tRNA from 1 species